rnacentral:rRNA from 1 species
UACGGAGGGUGCAAGCGUUAUCCGGGAUUUAUUGGGUUUAAAGGGUACGUAGGCGGUGGAGUAAGUCAGUGGUGAAAGCCAACAGCUCAACUGUUUGAACUGCCAUUGAUACUGCUUCACUUGAGUGCAGUUGAGGUGGGUGGAAUUCCAAUGUGUAACGGUGAAAUGCUUGAGAUAUAUGGAGGAACACCGAUAACGAAGGUAACUCAACUAAACUGUAACCUGACGCUGAGGUACGAAACGUGGGGAGCAAACGGG